UCAACGGCCCUUAUCAGGGCCACCAAUUACUCACGAAAGAAUUGUUU
rfam:Strongylocentrotus purpuratus Contig114487_fixed, whole genome shotgun sequence.